rnacentral:rRNA from 3 species
CUUAUGCGUUGUUGGGUAGGGGAGCGUUCUGUAAGCCUGCGAAGGUGGCCUGUGAGGGUUGCUGGAGGUAUCAGAAGUGCGAAUGCUGACAUAAGUAACGAUAAAGCGGGUGAAAAGCCCGCUCGCCGGAAGACCAAGGGUUCCUGUCCAACGUUAAUCGGGGCAGGGUGAGUCGACCCCUAAGGCGAGGCCGAAAGGCGUAGUCGAUGGGAAACGGGUUAAUAUUCCCGUACUUGGUGUUACUGCGAAGGGGGGACGGAGAAGGCUAUGUUGGCCGGGCGACGGUUGUCCCGGUUUAAGCGUGUAGGCUGGUUUUCCAGGCAAAUCCGGAAAAUCAAGGCUGAGGCGUGAUGACGAGGCACUACGGUGCUGAAGCAACAAAUGCCCUGCUUCCAGGAAAAGCCUCUAAGCAUCAGGUAACAUCAAAUCGUACCCCAAACCGACACAGGUGGUCAGGUAGAGAAUACCAAGGCGCUUGAGAGAACUCGGGUGAAGGAACUAGGCAAAAUGGUGCCGUAACUUCGGGAGAAGGCACGCUGACACGUAGGUGAAGUGAUUUACUCAUGGAGCUGAAGUCAGUCGAAGAUACCAGCUGGCUGCAACUGUUUAUUAAAAACACAGCACUGUGCAAACACGAAAGUGGACGUAUACGGUGUGACGCCUGCCCGGUGCCGGAAGGUUAAUUGAUGGGGUCAGCGCAAGCGAAGCUCCUGAUCGAAGCCCCGGUAAACGGCGGCCGUAACUAUAACGGUCCUAAGGUAGCGAAAUUCCUUGUCGGGUAAGUUCCGACCUGCACGAAUGGCGUAAUGAUGGCCAGGCUGUCUCCACCCGAGACUCAGUGAAAUUGAACUCGCUGUGAAGAUGCAGUGUACCCGCGGCAAGACGGAAAGACCCCGUGAACCUUUACUAUAGCUUGACACUGAACAUUGAGCCUUGAUGUGUAGGAUAGGUGGGAGGCUUUGAAGUGUGGACGCCAGUCUGCAUGGAGCCGACCUUGAAAUACCACCCUUUAAUGUUUGAUGUUCUAACGUGGACCCGUUACCCGGGUUGCGGACAGUGUCUGGUGGGUAGUUUGACUGGGGCGGUCUCCUCCUAAAGAGUAACGGAGGAGCACGAAGGUUGGCUAAUCCUGGUCGGACAUCAGGAGGUUAGUGCAAUGGCAUAAGCCAGCUUGACUGCGAGCGUGACGGCGCGAGCAGGUGCGAAAGCAGGUCAUAGUGAUCCGGUGGUUCUGAAUGGAAGGGCCAUCGCUCAACGGAUAAAAGGUACUCCGGGGAUAACAGGCUGAUACCGCCCAAGAGUUCAUAUCGACGGCGGUGUUUGGCACCUCGAUGUCGGCUCAUCACAUCCUGGGGCUGAAGUAGGUCCCAAGGGUAUGGCUGUUCGCCAUUUAAAGUGGUACGCGAGCUGGGUUUAGAACGUCGUGAGACAGUUCGGUCCCUAUCUGCCGUGGGCGCUGGAGAACUGAGGGGGGCUGCUCCUAGUACGAGAGGACCGGAGUGGACGCAUCACUGGUGUUCGGGUUGUCAUGCCAAUGGCACUGCCCGGUAGCUAAAUGCGGAAGAGAUAAGUGCUGAAAGCAUCUAAGCACGAAACUUGCCCCGA